UACGUAGGGGGCAAGCGUUGUCCGGAAUCAUUGGGCGUAAAGCGCGCGUAGGCGGCCCGGUAAGUCCGCUGUAAAAGUCCAGGGCUCAACCCUGCGUCGGCCAUGAAUACUGCCGCGGCUGGAGCACUGUAGAGGCAGGCGGAAUUCCGGGGUGUAGCGGUGGAAUGCGUAGAUAUCAGGAGGAACACCGGUGGUGUAAACGGCUUUCUGGACCAUAACUGACGCUGAGGCACGAAAGCGUGGGUAGCAAACAGG
rnacentral:rRNA from 1 species